UCGCGUCUUACGACGGCAGUUUCAGUAGAGUUCCCAGCGUUACCUGAUGGCAACUACUGAUGGGGGUUGCGCUCGUUGCGGGACUUAACCCAACACCUCACGGCACGAGCUGACGACAGCCAUGCAGCACCUUGCUUUGUGUCCCGAAGGAAAGGUCCAUCUCUGAACCGGUCACGCGCAUUCUAGCCUAGGUAAGGUUCCUCGCGUAUCAUCGAAUUAAGCAACGCGCAGAACCUUACCAGCCCUUGACAUGGGCGUCGCGGGUGGGGAUGACGUACCAAGGUUGGUU
rnacentral:misc_RNA from 1 species